rnacentral:tRNA from 4 species
CGGGAUGUGGCCUAGUCCGGUUAUGGCGUCUGGCUUGGGACCAGAAGAUCGGGGGUUCGAAUCCCUCCAUCCCGA